UCCAACAAGAAGAAAUGGGUGUAAACAAUCUAUUGCAAACCAGCAUUACAUCGAAAUAGGUUGUUCAUCAGCUGAUCAAAAGUUAACGUUUUUAAAAGCCAAAAUCUGGAUUCAAUGUCAUUUUCUGUCAUGAUUUUUCGAUGGUAAAGUCAAUAAAGCUUUCUCUCUUUGAACAUAGUCGGAUUGUUGAGCUGCAUAAGCAAGCAACCUCUCAUCUCACCAUUGCAGCCAAGGUUGGAAGCAGUAAGGCAGUCACUUGAAACUUCUUCAAAGAUGCUGAGGAUUAUGGAACAUACAGUAAAUGUCAAGUGGUAGACGCGAAAAAUGUCACAGGCUUUGAGCCAGAGGAUCCGAUUGGCUGUCCGUCAAGACACAAAUCGACCCAAAUGACGGUUGUUACUGGUUGCAAAUAAAGGGGCGGAAAAAAGGUUCUUACUGGUUCCGGGUGCAGUCCAAUAACCAUCAGAUCCCACCUGAGAUGUUUUCCUUCAAUAGCUCUUAGGGUGCAUUAAAAAACACAAUUAUUGAAUUUUGAUAUGGCUGGGUACUAAAAGUGUUCCAAUAUAUGUAGAAAUAACACAUACAAAAUAUUUUUCCAAUACAUGAUUAUUAUCGGUGCCACCAUACAUCUGUUUUUAUGGAAUAAAGUGGUGAACAGUUCAAUGGUCGCCAUGGAGAUUUGAGGUCAGCAAAGACUGCAGCUCAAGAACUCUGAGGGGGAAAACUGGCUCUUUCACCUGCAGCCCCUCUCUCUCUCUGGGAAGGUCUCUUUUCUUGACAUGGAGAACAUGGUUGGCAGGCUAAGUAACGGGCAUCGAACAAAGACAGUCGAGUGGGAGUGACGCCAUGAAUCACUGCAAAGAUGACAAACGCUGAAACAGGGACAAUGGACGGGGGACGGAGAAGACAACGAAACAUGACAACCGACCGAUCCACCCAUUCGCCGGGUCCAGAAGCCGAAAAUAACAGUCUUGGUACCCCCUCGUCCAUCUGACAUCAGCAAUAACACGUUGUUCCCACCGUGUCAAUCUACGCACUACAUCAUUCUUGACUCAAA